UCCCUGGUGGCUCAGAUGGUAAAGAAUCUGCCUGCAAUGCAAGAGACCCAGGUUCGAUCCCUGGGUGGGGAA
rnacentral:tRNA from 1 species